GACGAACGCUGGCGGCGUGCUUAACACAUGCAAGUCGAACGGUAAGGCCCUUCGGGGUACACGAGUGGCGAACGGGUGAGUAACACGUGGGUGAUCUGCCCUGCACUUCGGGAUAAGCCUGGGAAACUGGGUCUAAUACCGGAUAGGACUCCUGGCUUCAUGGUUGGGGGUGGAAAGCUUUUGCGGUGUGGGAUGGGCCCGCGGCCUAUCAGCUUGUUGGUGGGGUAAUGGCCUACCAAGGCGACGACGGGUAGCCGGCCUGAGAGGGUGACCGGUCACACUGGGACGGAGAUACGGCCCAGACUCCUACGGGAGGCAGCAGUGGGGAAUAUUGCACAAUGGGCGCAAGCCUGAUGCAGCGACGCCGCGUGAGGGAUGACGGCCUUCGGGUUGUAAACCUCUUUCAGCUAUGACGAAGCGCAAGUGACGGUAGGUGCAGAAGAAGGACCGGCCAACUACGUGCCAGCCGCCGCAGUAA
rnacentral:rRNA from 1 species